rnacentral:lncRNA from 1 species
GGAUACAACAGGAACUUUCCAGAAAUUUUUGAGGAUAUCAAAACUAGCAAGGAACUCUAAAAAGAGUAAAAUGAUAAACCCAAGAUAAUAUAAGAAAUAAAAGAGAGAAGGAAAAAAUAAGAGGAAAAGGAGAAUGAGAGAAAUGUGUGUCUUUUGGAGGUGAGCAUAAGCUUCUAUUUAUAGAGUUUGUGAACCAUCCCACAAACUAAGAUUAGAGGAAGAAUCUCGUAUGAAGAGCUGGUAAAAAAGGGUUCCAAUAAAUAAAAAAAGGACGUUGGGAGCAAACUUCUUGACUUGUAGAAGAACCUUGUAGUUUAUGUUUGCACCUUGUGGUUUUGGUCAAAAUCGUUCACACAUAAUCCAUAUCCAAUCCUUAUAGACAAGAAUUUGACUCAAGGUGGUUAAGCAACUUCCCAAAUACUCCUGUCAACAGACUCCAAAAA